AAGGCUUAAAAAGCAAACUGCUAAUUUGCAUCAUAGAUAAAUCUAUGCCUUU
rnacentral:tRNA from 1 species